GGUCUUAGAGUUUGAAUCUGGCUCAGGACGAACGCUGGCGGCGUGCCUAAUACAUGCAAGUCGAGCGGACUUAAAAAGCUUGCUUUUUAAGUUAGCGGCGGACGGGUGAGUAACACGUGGGCAACCUGCCUGUAAGACUGGGAUAACUUCGGGAAACCGGAGCUAAUACCGGAUAAUCCUUUUCUACUCAUGUAGAAAAGCUGAAAGACGGUUUACGCUGUCACUUACAGAUGGGCCCGCGGCGCAUUAGCUAGUUGGUGAGGUAACGGCUCACCAAGGCGACGAUGCGUAGCCGACCUGAGAGGGUGAUCGGCCACACUGGGACUGAGACACGGCCCAGACUCCUACGGGAGGCAGCAGUAGGGAAUCUUCCGCAAUGGACGAAAGUCUGACGGAGCAACGCCGCGUGAGUGAUGAAGGUUUUCGGAUCGUAAAACUCUGUUGUUAGGGAAGAACAAGUACGAGAGUAACUGCUCGUACCUUGACGGUACCUAACCAGAAAGCCACGGCUAACUACGUGCCAGCAGCCGCGGUAAUACGUAGGUGGCAAGCGUUGUCCGGAAUUAUUGGGCGUAAAGCGCGCGCAGGCGGUCCUUUAAGUCUGAUGUGAAAGCCCACGGCUCAACCGUGGAGGGUCAUUGGAAACUGGGGGACUUGAGUGCAGAAGAGAAGAGUGGAAUUCCACGUGUAGCGGUGAAAUGCGUAGAGAUGUGGAGGAACACCAGUGGCGAAGGCGACUCUUUGGUCUGUAACUGACGCUGAGGCGCGAAAGCGUGGGGAGCAAACAGGAUUAGAUACCCUGGUAGUCCACGCCGUAAACGAUGAGUGCUAAGUGUUAGAGGGUUUCCGCCCUUUAGUGCUGCAGCAAACGCAUUAAGCACUCCGCCUGGGAGACCCACA
rnacentral:rRNA from 1 species